rnacentral:lncRNA from 1 species
AUUACAGAUGGUUGUGAGCCACCUUGUGGUUGCAGGAUCUCUGGAAGAACAGUCAGUCCUCUUAACUAAGCCAUCUCUCCAGCCCAACACAGAGCAGUUGUGAUCCAUAGUUAAGUUGCUAAGUAUGGAAAACUAGUGUCUUAAGAGCACAGCCUGGAACGUGACCACAGAGAUCUGAUGUUGCAUUGCCAGUACACUGGUCUAGAGAGACAACCAGACUGAAGACGCUUGGACCCCCACCUCUCACAUGAGCCGUUCUCAUCCCUGACUUGAUUGCUUCCACCUGAUGGGUUAUGUAAGCAAGAAAUAGCCUCUUCCUUAUUCAAACCACUGACUUCUGGAAUGGGGAAAAUGCAAAGAAGAAAAUCACUUUCAUGUUACCCUUACGUCUUAUCUACUUCUCUUUCUGUGAAGGCACACCAUGACCAAGGCAGCUCAUGAAAGAAAGCAUUUAAUCAGGGGCCUGCUUACGGUUCCGUAGGGCUAGUCCAUGGUCAUCAUGGUGCGGGAGCAUGACGGCUGGGAUGGUGCUGGAGCAGUAGCUAAGAACUUACCUCCUGGUCCACAGAUAGGAAGCAGAAAGAGAACUAGGCUGGGCCAGAAGUGGGCUUUUGAAACCUCAUAGCCUACCUGCAGUGACACACUUCCUCCACCAAGGCCACACACAUACCUCUAAUCCUUUCUAAAGAGUCCAUCUAUUGGGAACCAAACAUUAAACUAUAUGAGCUUGUGACAGUCA